rnacentral:rRNA from 1 species
GAUGAACGCUGACAGAAUGCUUAACACAUGCAAGUCGACUUGAAACAACUUCGGUUGUGGAAAGUGGCGGACGGGUGAGUAACGCGUAAAGAACUUGCCCUUCAGUCUGGGACAACCAUUGGAAACGAUGGCUAAUACCGGAUAUUAUGGAACUCUCGCAUGGGAGGAUCAUGAAAGCUAUAUGCGCUGAAGGAGAGCUUUGCGUUCCAUUAGCUAGUUGGUGAGGUAACGGCUCACCAAGGCGACGAUGGAUAGCCGGCCUGAGAGGGUGAUCGGCCACAAGGGGACUGAGACACGGCCCUUACUCCUACGGGAGGCAGCAGUGGGGAAUAUUGGACAAUGGACCAAAAGUCUGAUCCAGCAAUUCUGUGUGCACGAUGAAGGUUUUCGGAUCGUAAAGUGCUUUCAGUUGGGAAGAAGAAGGUGACGGUACCAACAGAAGAAGCGACGGCUAAAUACGUGCCAGCAGCCGCGGUAAUACGUAUGUCGCAAGCGUUAUCCGGAUUUAUUGGGCGUAAAGCGCGUCUAGGCGGGUUCAUAAGUCUGAUGUUAAAAUGCGGGGCUCAACUCCGUAUUGCGUUGGAAACUGUGAACCUAGAGUAUCAGAGAGGUGGGCGGAACUACAAGUGUAGAGGUGAAAUUCGUAGAUAUUUGUAGGAAUGCCGAUGGAGAAGUCAGCUCACUGGAUGAAUACUGACGCUAAAGCGCGAAAGCGUGGGUAGCAAACAGG